rnacentral:rRNA from 1 species
UACGUAGGGGGCAAGCGUUGUCCGGAAUCAUUGGGCGUAAAGCGCGUGUAGGCGGCCCGGUAAGUCCGCUGUGAAAGUCGGGGGCUCAACCCUCGAAUGCCGGUGGAUACUGUCGGGCUAGAGUGCGGGAGAGGCGAGUGGAAUUCCUGGUGUAGCGGUGAAAUGCGUAGAUAUCAGGAGGAACACCCGUGGCGAAGGCGGCUCUCUGGGUCGGACCUGACGCUGAGGCGCGAAAGCGUGGGGAGCGAACGGG